UCACUAUUGCACCGACGGGCGGGGCGACGAGUCGAUGACAUCUCUGGUGAAAAUCUACAUUUUUUCUCCGUGUAAAGCUCUGGUCUGGACUCUGGAGGCUAGCCGCUGGUCCUCUUCUUCUUGGUCGAAAAGAUGUAAUAGCUCAUUAGAACCCGGAAGGCGAUGAGUUUUACACCUUGAUCGACGACUACACCUACUACUGCCGCCACUCCUUCGGCAGAGAUGGACCAUAGGUCAAUGAAUCCGGUUGACCCAGUUGGUCCUCCAGUCCUACUGGCACCGGCAUAUUCGACUUCUUCGAUGGUGCUACCUGUUAGCGCCCGACGUGCUCACUGGUGCCCCCGCACUCCAUACCAGAUGUCGCCAACGGGAUCCACAACCAAUGCCUCCGCCAAGAAAAACACCUGGGGACCUUGUCGGCAAUUGAAG